CACAGCAGCUGUGUGUAUGUGUGUGAUUGUUUGUUCCCUCUGCACAAUGACCCUGGCCAUGGUGAAGAUAACUACACACAUCUUGGUUCUACCAGUAUCUCUCUGUGUCUGUCUGCUCUGUGCCCUGGACUUACAGCUGUAAACCCCUGGACUAGCAAAUAUGUCGGUGGUUGUCCCUUCACUGGAAAACCCCAGCUUUACCAUAAUUCACUCUGUUCCUUCAAGCAGAGAGACAGAUAAUUUGUUCCUGCAGCCCAAAGAGACGUUAGCAGCUUCACCAGAGGUCCUUGCAGUGACUGAGAAACUAAAGCAGGCACAGUGGGCUAAUUCAUCAUCCUUGUUUCAAAAGAA